GACGAACGCUGGCGGCGCGCUUAACACAUGCAAGUCGAACGGAAAGGCCUGCUUUCCCUUGUGGGUUGCGGGUACUCGCGUGGCGAACGGGUGAGUAACACGUGAGUUAUCUGCCCCCAACUUGGGUAUAAGCCUGGGAAACUGGGUCUAAUUCCCGAUAGGACUGCAGGGUGGUGCCUGUGGUGGAAAACGAUUGUCUAGUGGUUGGGGAUGAGCUGGCGGCCUAUCAGCUUGUUGGUGGGGUAAUGGCCUACCAAGGCGGCGACGGGUAGCCGGCCUGGGAGAGUGGGCGGGCGCAUUGGGACUGAGACACGGCCCAGAAUCCUACGGGAGGCAGCAGUGGGGAAGAUGGCGCAAUGGGCGGAAGCCUGAUGCAGCGACGCCGCGUGGGCGAUGACGGCCUUCGGGUUGUAAACUCCUUUCGACCGCGAGCAAGCCACCUGGUUGGAAGGGUGGUGACGGUAGUGGUAGAAGAAGCACCGGCUAACUACGUG
rnacentral:rRNA from 1 species